rnacentral:siRNA from 1 species
AGAGGUGAACCUGAUUUGGCU